GAGGGGAUAGCUCAUGUGGUAGAGCACCUGCUUGGCAUGCAGGAGGUCCUGGGUUCAAUCCCCAGUACCUCCU
rnacentral:tRNA from 1 species